AUGGACCUGAGGAUACUUUCCCUAAAUUAUCGACUAUGACUAAACAAUGCAAAUGUAAUCCCAUCAGGAUUCCAAGCCAGAAAUCUGGUCCAU
rnacentral:snoRNA from 16 species